rnacentral:lncRNA from 1 species
ACAGACGCAAAUUGUCAGUGGGGUUAAAGGUCGUUACAUAUGUAUUGAAAGCUAGACUGAAAAUGUGUAUUAACAAAUUGAGUUGAUGUGUACAUGUCUUCAUUCAAAUGCAUUGACUGAUAAAAAAAGGAGGCUUCAACUUCCACCCCUCUCUAUGAAUUAGUUGUUUGAGUGUUUGAAUAUGGAGUUUGUUAAUAAAUAGCUGCACUGUAAGCGCAUGAUAUGUCUUGAUUCCUUUUAAGCUUGCUUAAAGGUUGAACUAUUUUGUUUUGUACAAUUAUUAGUCUAUUUGUUUUCUCAUUUCAUUUGUUUUAUAUUUGUCAUUUUAAGGUCUUUUAUAGCUGACUGUGCUGUAUGAGCUUUUGUCAUUGUUGAAGGCUAUUUGGGGAC